rnacentral:misc_RNA from 1 species
GAAAAACAAGCAGCUUGCAGAGAGGGAUGCUGCUAUAGAGGCUCUGGCCUGGUUAACACACACCUCUGACAACAGUGCAAAUUCGGACGAUGACUCUCCGAUUGAUGUAACUGACAACAUGCUAAAACUUCUUGGAAAACGAAGACGGUCUAAACGUCGCCCUGGUUAAUGACAUGAUAGAAGAAGUAAAUGGUUGGUCAGUUGCAGAUUGUAC